rnacentral:rRNA from 1 species
UACGAAGGGGGCUAGCGUUGCUCGGAAUGACUGGGCGUAAAGGGCGCGUAGGCGGUUUGUACAGUCAGGUGUGAAAUGCCCGGGCUCAACCUGGGGGCGGCACUUGAUACGUAUGGGACUGGAGUGGGGAAGAGGGUCGUGGAAUUCCCGAGUGUAGAGGUGAAAUUCGUAGAUAUCGGGAGGAACACCUGGUGGCGAAAGCAGCGCACUGGACCACAACUGACGCUGGAGGCGACGAAAGCUAGGGGAGCAAACAGG